GGAAGGGCUGUGGCUCAGUGGUCGAGCAUCUGCCUGGCAAUUAGAAGGUCCCGGGUUCAAUUCCAAAGACCUCCA
rnacentral:tRNA from 1 species